rnacentral:other from 1 species
CGAAUCCUGAAAUGUUCGGAUAAACCUAUUAUUUUGAACCUACAUUUCUAAUACGGGAAUCCUUGUUUGUGCGGGAGAAACCAGGCCCCAAUUAAAUUCCGACAUAUGCCGCAAAGCAUGUGCGACGGCGGGGGAAGGUUGAGAUCAGCCAGCGGGAUGCCCACCUAGCUGAGGGCUAGGUGUCAAAAUAUAGGGGAACGGCAUUUUGGGAUGCAU